rnacentral:lncRNA from 1 species
CGGAGAGGGGGCCCGGCCCCCGGGCCGCCCAGCUCAGCGCCGCCCGCGGGCUCCGGAGCGCAUCGGGAGCUGGGCCGGGCUUGGGGCCGCGCUGCCGCCGGCGCUGCGCUGUGCUCCGCGUUCGCCUAUUGAUCUGAUCCGCGGCGGCGACGGCGGCGGCGAGGAGCCAGGUCAGGUCCGAACAGAUUGGCGGAGAUUCCCGGGGCUCCGGGCUCUGAUUGACAUUUCUACGGGGCGCAAGCCCCUCCUCUCUGCGCCGCGCUCCCUCCUCUCGGCCGCCGGAGCUGCCUCUGCCCGCGCCUCGCUCCUCACUGCCCUCCUCUCCCCAGCAGUGUCGCGCCUCGCUUCCUUCUCCCUCCUCUAGUUUUCACUCCCCCUCCUCGCCCUUCCUCUCCCCUCCCCUCUCCGCACUCCUCUUCCCCCCAGGAUCGCUUCCGCUCCUUCGGGCUCCUGCACUGCCCUGGACGCUAUGAAACUCUCCUUUCUCCUCUCCCCUUCCCUUUCCCUUUCUCACGAUGGCUUUUGCUCUCCGGUCCGUUCCCUUCACUUUUUCCUCUCUCACUACUUCUAUUCUUUAAAUCUCUCUCUUUACUCACACGAUACUUCCCCCAACCUUUCCAGCCUCUGCACCCUGGGCUAAGUAAGGCAGCCAAAAGUUGUGGACACUUAGGGUGCCGCGCGGGGGGUGUGUGUCCGUGUCUGUGUGUCCAUCCCCGCCCUUCCACCCCCUCCCUCGCCCUUCCCCAAAUCUCGGGUCUGACGUCGCGCCCUCUUAUUCGACUUUUCCCCGCGUCUCUUCCCCGAGUCGCCAAUCGCCUGGGCGCCUUACGGGCGAGGCCGCCCACCCCCGCGGAUUCCGCGCGCAGGGCGGGGCGGGGCAGGGGCGGGAGCCGGAGUGCCGCGAGUCCCUGCCCGCCCCCUCCUGCCCGCGCCGGGCGGGGGAGCGAGAGGCGCGGGGACUGGCAGCGGCGGACUCCUGAGAGCAUGGCCUGGCGUCCGCACAGGGUGGAAUUCGUAUUUGGCCAGGAAUCCGGACUCCGAGCAUCCCAGGAGACGCGGACCGGGGGCCUCCAGAGCUCUCCGGAGCGUGCUGCCGCUCCCCACCGGCCACCGGGGACUUGGAGGCCCUUCUUGGGUCCGGAGAAGCGACGGGGAAACUUAGGGGUAAACUUUGUCAACUUCGCUCUCGGCGCGGGAGAGGCCGCCGGCCGGAAUGGUGCAACAGCGGUGGCGGGCCGCGACGCGCAGCUGUGAUGCCACGAGAAUACUCAGAUAGCACACGGACAGGCCCACAUGGUAAUGAAUUGCAACUUGCCAGCAACCAUGUGGGUUAGCUUGAAGCAGAUUCUCCAGUCCUGAGUCUUCAGGUGACUGUAGCUCUGGCUGACCAUGUGACUGAACCUGAGGAGAAUCGCUGAGCCAAAGACACACAGAUAAGCUGCACCUGGAUUCCUGACCUACAGAAACUGUGAAGUAGUAAAUGUUUGUUGUUCAAAGCCAAGGGUUGGCAAAAUACAUUCCACUUGUUUUUGUAAAUAAAGUUUUUUUUUUUUUUUUUUUUUUUUUUUUUUUUUGAGACGGAGUCUCGCGCUGUGUCACCCAGGCUGGAGUGCAGUGGCGCGAUCUCGGCUCACUGCAAGCUCCGCCUCCCAGGUUCAGGCCAUUCUCCUGCCUCAGCCUCCCGAGUAGCUGGGACUACAGGCGCCCGCCACCACGCCCGGCUAGUUUUUUGUAUUUUUAGUAGAGACGGGGUUUCACCAUAUUAGCCAGGAUGGUCUCGAUCUCCUGACCUCGUGAUCCGCCCGCCUCGGCCUCCCAAAGUGCUGGGAUUACAGGCUUGAGCCACCGCGCCCGGCCGUAAAUAAAGUUUUAUUGGACCUUGGUAACGUUCGUUAAUGUGCCUAUUGUUAUGGCUGCUUUCAUACUUCAACAGCAGGAGCUAUUGAGUAGCUGCAGCAAAAGACUAUAUGGCCCACAGGUCUAAAAUAUUUACUAGGUGACCCUUUAAGGAAAAGUUUGUCUAUCCCUGUUUUAAGCUGCUAAGUUUGGGAAAAAUAGUUACCUAGCAAUGGAUGACGAAUACAAUAGCUUUCAAAUCCAAAACAUUGGUCCUAACUGGGCUUGCAGGUCUUGAGGUAGGGCAUCUAAUUUCAGUUUAGCUUUGUUUAAUAGAUAUUAACUAAGCACCUACUGUGUGCCAGGCAUGGUCUCAAUCAUAUUCCAGAAUGCCACAUUCAGUUCUUUCUCCACUGUCCCCUCCAGCAUUUUCUUGGUCUAUGGCAUGAUUUGCCAAAUAUUUGUGGAUUUAAGUUGGCUUUUAGAGACUGGAAUUAGCAAGACACUCUUUGGAAUGCAACAGAUAACUCUGUAAUCAUGGGGAGGUGAGCAGGGAGCAGGAGGACAUUUAGCUGGUAUUUCCAUGCAAAGUUCUGAUAGUUGUUAAAAUAUGGAAAUGUUUCCAUCCCACCCUAUGGAAAUAGAGGGCCCCAAAGGCCCUACCUCCAGUAAACAAAGGGGUCAGGUAUAGCACAGCAGGGCCACCCAC